AUUGAACGCUGGCGGCAUGCCUUACACAUGCAAGUCGAACGGCAGCACGGGUGCUUGCACCUGGUGGCGAGUGGCGAACGGGUGAGUAAUACAUCGGAACAUGUCCUGUAGUGGGGGAUAGCCCGGCGAAAGCCGGAUUAAUACCGCAUACGAUCUACGGAUGAAAGCGGGGGACCUUCGGGCCUCGCGCUAUAGGGUUGGCCGAUGGCUGAUUAGCUAGUUGGUGGGGUAAAGGCCUACCAAGGCGACGAUCAGUAGCUGGUCUGAGAGGACGACCAGCCACACUGGGACUGAGACACGGCCCAGACUCCUACGGGAGGCAGCAGUGGGGAAUUUUGGACAAUGGGCGAAAGCCUGAUCCAGCAAUGCCGCGUGUGUGAAGAAGGCCUUCGGGUUAUAAAGCACUUUUGUCCGGAAAGAAAUCCUUGGCCCUAAUACGGUCGGGGGAUGACGGUACCGGAAGAAUAAGCACCGGCUAACUACGUG
rnacentral:rRNA from 1 species